rnacentral:rRNA from 1 species
AGAGUUUGAUCCUGGCUCAGGACGAACGCUGGCGGCGUGCUUAACACAUGCAAGUCGAACGAUGAAGCCUAGCUUGCUAGGUGGAUUAGUGGCGAACGGGUGAGUAAUACGUGAGUAACCUACCUUUAACUCUGGGAUAAGCCUGGGAAACUGGGUCUAAUACCGGAUACGACCAAUCUCCGCAUGGGGUGUUGGUGGAAAGCGUUAUGUAGUGGUUAUAGAUGGGCUCACGGCCUAUCAGCUUGUUGGUGAGGUAACGGCUCACCAAGGCGACGACGGGUAGCCGGCCUGAGAGGGUGACCGGCCACACUGGGACUGAGACACGGCCCAGACUCCUACGGGAGGCAGCAGUGGGGAAUAUUGCACAAUGGGCGCAAGCCUGAUGCAGCGACGCCGCGUGAGGGAUGACGGCCUUCGGGUUGUAAACCUCUGUUAGCAGGGAAGAAGAGAGAUUGACGGUACCUGCAGAGAAAGCGCCGGCUAACUACGUGCCAGCAGCCGCGGUAAUACGUAGGGCGCGAGCGUUGUCCGGAAUUAUUGGGCGUAAAGAGCUUGUAGGCGGUUUGUCGCGUCUGCUGUGAAAGGCCGGGGCUUAACCCCGUGUAUUGCAGUGGGUACGGGCAGACUAGAGUGCAGUAGGGGAGACUGGAACUCCUGGUGUAGCGGUGGAAUGCGCAGAUAUCAGGAAGAACACCGAUGGCGAAGGCAGGUCUCUGGGCUGUAACUGACGCUGAGAAGCGAAAGCAUGGGGAGCGAACAGGAUUAGAUACCCUGGUAGUCCAUGCCGUAAACGUUGGGCACUAGGUGUGGGGGACAUUCCACGUUUUCCGCGCCGUAGCUAACGCAUUAAGUGCCCCGCCUGGGGAGUACGGCCGCAAGGCUAAAACUCAAAGAAAUUGACGGGGGCCCGCACAAGCGGCGGAGCAUGCGGAUUAAUUCGAUGCAACGCGAAGAACCUUACCAAGGCUUGAAUAUACUGGACCGCUCCAAAAAAUGUGGUUCCCUUCCGGGGUGGGUUACAAGGGGGGGCCAGGGUGUCCUCCACCUCUGGCCUUAGAAAAUUUGGGGUUAAUUCCCCCACCAAAACCCAACCUCUCUUCUAAUGUUCCCCCACCUUUUUGUGGGGGACUCAAAAGAACAUGCCGGGGCACUCCCGAAAAGAGGGGGGGAGAAGCCAAAUUAAUACGCCCCUUAUUUUUGGGGUUCCCCGUGCUCAUAGGCCGGUACAGAGGGUUGCGAUACUGUGAGGUGGAGCUAAUCCCUAAAAGCCGGUCUCAGUUCGGAUUGGGGUCUGCAACUCGACCCCAUGAAGUCGGAGUCGCUAGUAAUCGCAGAUCAGCAACGCUGCGGUGAAUACGUUCCCGGGCCUUGCACACACCGCCCGUC